GGAUCCGCGGCCAGGCGCCCUUCUCCGGGGCGGGCGUGGUCACCCGCUGCCCGGUCCCGGGUGCGGGACUCUGGUCGUGGGGCGCGGGCUUUGGCCAGGGAAGAAGCUCACAGUGGGCGGCGGGGGCCGGGAGUGCGGAGACAGGGGAUCCUUCGCCCAUCUGUGCGCGCUCUGGGCGCCGCGUCCCGGGAGCCAGGGCCAAAGCCCCGCCGGCUGGGAGGGGAAGCUGCGGGCCAGGACUGGGCGGGAUCGGGAGAGCCUGCCCCGCCCCGCGCCGCUCCCGCGAGGCCCCGGCUGCAAGUCCCGGGCGCCGGGUUAUAAAAGCCGGCUAUGGCGGGUCUCACACCUGGGACUGGGCGCUCGCCAUGGCUUCAGGAGGGCUGUUCCCCGCGCCUGCCCGGAGAGGACACCGCGCCGCAGCUCCCGCCCUGAGAGCCGCUCCGAGUCCGUUGUCCCUGCAGCACCCCUUGGGCCCGCGCCCUGGGCGGUGCCGUGGGACAGGGGAGGCCCUGUAGUCGCCCACCUGCAACUGGCCCUGGCUCUCGAGGCGCGCCUGUGGCGGAGCGGCCAACCGCAGGUAGCGCUCCCCGCGGCGGGGGCCUCCCAGGAUCACAUAUUCGCCCCCUUCCCAGCGCGCACACGCGGCGCAGCCGGGUUCCACCUGCGCCCGCGCCGGGGGUGCCGGGUCCUGCCCCAGGUGCGGGCGGGACGCGAGGCACGAGGCUGGAAUCGCGGGCCCCUGUCGCCGGGCCCCUGUCGUCGAGGGGAAGAGCCAUCUUAAUCCCUGAGCCGCUGGGCGACCGAGAAGCACUUAGGCCCACCGCAACUUAAGGUGCAGGUUCUCCUCGCAGCCCCUCCGGUCACCUUCGGCCAAUCUGCACCACAUGCGAACUGAAACUGGCCACCCACGACCGUCCCGGCCCUGUCCUACCCACUCCUUCUGGCAGCCCGAGAUCUGCCACAAGGUCCAGGCCCUCGUGCUGUGGCUCCUGGAGCUUAAGAACAUUUUUUUACUUCUCCCAGACCACUUUUAACCUGGCUCUCACUCCUUCGGCCGCCUCCUGGUUUCAUUAAAGAUAAGAGAGUGAAUACUCUAAAAUGCCAUGAUUACUUCCUUGAGACUUGCUGCUGAAGUUAACCAAGAAGAGGAGUGACUUCCACAUGGAAAAGACUUCUUUAAAGCACUAGGGCUCUGGCUGUACCCCGAAUGAGCUGCUGAGGACGGAGCUGGCUAUCUUG